GAUGAACGCUGGCGGCGUGCCUAAUACAUGCAAGUCGAGCGAAUGGAUUAAGAGCUUGCUCUUAUGAAGUUAGCGGCGGACGGGUGAGUAACACGUGGGUAACCUGCCCAUAAGACUGGGAUAACUCCGGGAAACCGGGGCUAAUACCGGAUAACAUUUUGAACCGCAUGGUUCGAAAUUGAAAGGCGUCUUCGGCUGUCACUUAUGGCUGGACCCGCGUCGCAUUAGGUAGUUGGUGAGGUAACGGCUCACCAAGGCAACGAUGCGUAGCCGACCUGAGAGGGUGAUCGGCCACACUGGGACUGAGACACGGCCCAGACUCCUACGGGAGGCAGCAGUAGGGAAUCUUCCGCAAUGGACGAAAGUCUGACGGAGCAACGCCGCGUGAGUGAUGAAGGCUUUCGGGUCGUAAAACUCUGUUGUUAGGGAAGAACAAGUGCUAGUUGAAUAAGCUGGCACCUUGACGGUAUCUAACCAGAAAGCCACGGCUAACUACGUGCCAGCCGCCGCCGUAA
rnacentral:rRNA from 1 species